rnacentral:rRNA from 1 species
UACGGGGGGGGCAAGCGUUGUCCGGAAUCAUUGGGCGUAAAGCGCGCGUAGGCGGCCCGGUAAGUCCGCUCUGAAAGUCAAGGGCUCAACCCUUGAAAGCCGGUUGAUACUGUCGGGCUAGAGUCCGGAAGAGGCGAGUGGAAUUCCCGGUGUAGCGGUGAAAUGCGCAGAUAUCGGGAGGAACACCAAUGGCGAAGGCAGCUCGCUGGGACGGUACUGACGCUGAGACGCGAAAGCGUGGGGAGCAAACAGG